AUGAUUGAUAACAAAUACUCUAGCUUAUAAAUCUGUAUUGAUUCAACUCUUUCAGUUUCAGCAUUAUACAACCAGAACAUGGCGUUAAGGAGUUUAACAAUUACAAAAAUUAUUGUAGAAUUAGUUAUAGGCUUUCUGACAAUAAAUAGUUGUGCAAGCGAUAUGUUGUCGGGAUUUCAAGUAAUUGAAUCUUUUACAGGCGUAGCUGGUAAUGAAAAUUUUAAAUCUUCUGUAAAAUGGAACAAGAUCCAUAACAAAAAGAUUUCACUUGGAGAUAGUUCAAACAAUGCUACUAAUGCUAACGUCACUUCCACUGAUAGAUUUGUUCCUGUGGUAGUUACAGGGUUAAGAGGAGAAGGAAGCAAGGUAUUGGUUUCUACUGGUGGAGCAUCACUCAUUCCAGCCAACGAAGAGGUUACAUUGCGUUUAUUUGGAGUAAACUUUACAAAGCACAUUGCUAUAGCUUUUACAACUGUUAAACAACCAAAAGGCAGCAACUGCAAUGACUUACCAACCACAGAAGUAGUAUACCUGCAAGAAGAAGGGUUUUUAAGUAGUAGUGCAGUUUUUAUUCAAGUUUCUCUACCAGAUAUGGAAUUUACAGAUCAGUUCUACUUUAUGUGUGUGAAGAACAGUCCAGAGUUAGAUAAAACAAGUGGUUGGAUUCAUCAAGGAGAUGACCCAUGGAUGCGUAUCCAAACAGAAAGUAAGAUUUUUCCUUUGUGGUUACAGAUCUGUUUCAUUGUAAUUCUUCUGAUUUUAUCUGGCCUCUUUAGUGGUUUAAACCUGGGCUUAAUGGCUUUAGAUAAAACAGAAUUGAAGGUUAUUGAAAGUGUGGGUUCACCAACGGAAAAAAAAUUUGCACGAAUAAUUUCUCCUUUGCGUUCAAGAGGAAAUUACCUUCUUUGUUCUCUUCUACUUGGUAAUGUGUCGGUGAACAGUAGUUUAACCAUCUUAUUAGAUGGAAUUUCGUCUGGACUAAUUGCUGUUAUUGGAUCAACGAUUGGUAUUGUUAUAUUUGGUGAGAUAAUUCCUCAAGCCAUUUGCUCCCGUCAUGGACUGGCGGUUGGUGCUAGAACAGUAAUGCUCACUAAAUUCUUUAUGAUUGUGACAUUUCCAUUAUCAUUUCCGAUCAGUAAGAUCUUAGAUUGGAUUCUUGGUGAAGAAAUAGGCAAUGUGUAUAAUCGGGAGAAGCUUAUGGAGUAUAUCAAAGUAACCAAGGAUUAUAAUCAGUUAGAAAAUGAAGAAGUAAAUAUUAUUUCAGGGGCACUAGAACUGAAGAAGAAGACAGCAGCUGAAAUCAUGACAAAAAUAGAUGAUGUAUUCAUGAUUCCAAUUGACAGCAUUUUGAAUUUUGAAACAAUGUCAGAAAUUUUAAAACGAGGAUAUACCCGCAUUCCUGUUUAUGAUGCAGACAGAAACAAUAUUGUGUUUCUUCUGUUUACCAAGGAUUUAGCUUUUGUUGACCCUGAAGAUAAUACACCUGUCAAGACCCUCUGUGAGUUCUACAAUCACCCAAUUAGCUAUGUUUAUGAAGAUGAAACUCUAGAUGUACUCCUGGAAGAAUUCAAGAAAGGUCGUUCCCACAUGGCAUUUGUUCGUUAUGUUAACAAUGAAGGUGAGGGAGAUCCAUUCUAUGUUAUCCUUGGUGUGGUAACUCUGGAAGAUGUCAUAGAAGAAAUUAUUCAAUCAGAAAUUGUUGAUGAAACAGACACAGUGUCUGAUAAUCGAUGUAAGCAACGGCGUAAGGAUGCUCAGGUGAAGCAGGAUUUCUCAGACUUUGCUAAGAUAGGAGAAGGUCAACAAGGAAAGAACAUCAUAUCUCCUCAGUUGGCAUUAGCAACCUUUCAGUAUCUCUCUACAUCUGUUGAACCUUUCAGGAAGGAACUCAUAUCUGCAACAGUUCUUCGUCGUCUCAUGGCUCAGAACAUUUUCUUCACUCUUAAAAUGAGAACCAGAGAUGAUGCAAAUGCUCCUGCAAUGACCAUCUAUCAGGCUGGAAAACCUUCUGACUAUUUUGUUCUAAUUCUUGAAGGCCGAGUAAGGGUACAAGUUGGAAAAGAAAACCUAGUUUUUGAAGGUGGACCAUUUACCUACUUUGGAUGUUCUGCUUUAACAAAUAACAUUAUUCCAGGAGAAUCUGCUUCACAGCUUCUAGGACCUGGCUCAUCACCCAGCUUGACCAACACACCAUCAGAAUCAACCCUGUUGAAAGCAACCUUCAUUCCAGAUUACACUGUAGUGGCUGUCAGUGAUACAUUGUACAUGAAAGUUCACCGAGCUGUGUAUCUAGCUGCCUACAGGGCCACUUGUAUGGAACGCCAACAACAACGUUCUGAUUUCAAUCUGGAAGAUCCAUUUAAGGGGGAACUAGAGAAGGUCCUAAACACAGUGAACAUUCUUGGAGGUCGUUCAGAGCAGAUUGUCUUAUCACCUACAGCACCUUUUACUCAGAAUUUCUGUGAAGAUUCUAGCCCUCCAACCAAUCAUGAGACUGUGUCUAGGAAGAAGAAUGAGUGGCACACACCUCGAGCUAGUGUGGAGGCCAUCAAUGCUCCUAUACUAGCCAAUGCAGUUAAACAGAAUGGCACACUCAGUCCACCUCUGGUAAGUAUUCUACGGAUAGAAGCUGAAACACCAAAAAUUCAAACAGCAAAAGAGGAAGUCAGUACUGCAGAACAUGUAAAGCUAGAAGCAGUUGAUUCAGAAGCUACUAUUGAUGUCGCUAACCAGAAGUCAACUGAAUGCUCAGCAAAACAGGCUCCUCUACUGUCAUCAACAGAAGUUCAAAGUUGAUAUCUGGGCAGCUGAAGAAAACCUGUGAAUAUUGUGGACUACUGAUAUAAUGUUUUGUAGUUUAUUUCAUUCAUGUGCAUUGUAGAUAUUUUUAGUAUUUAUUAAAAUUUGCUUUUUAGCUAUUUUAGGCAAGCUUAAAGUAUACUAUUUCUUAUUAUAGUGACUUCUUUAUACAUAAGCUGAAAAGCAAACUUGUAAAUCACUGCUGUUAAAUUCAUUAAAAUGUAUAAAGUUGAAUUGGGAGAUAACUUUAACCCAAUAUGCUUUUAAAUGUUUCUUUUACACUUUCAUAGUAAUGUAUAAAGGUUUAGAAUUUGUUCUUGUAAGAAGAAAUAUUUAUAAUGUGUAACUGUAAAGUUUUAUUGAAUGUAGCUCUGUGAUAAAUAGAUUUGCACACUCCAAGAAAGAUGAAUAGGUAUGUCAUGGCACCUGUCAUGUUUUCUGGCAAUUACCAAAUGUACGAGAUUUUAACCUGAACUAAUAUGUACUAUCAUUAAAUGUCUAAAAAGGCAUGUUAGUAAUGUAUUACUAAUUGCAUAAUUCAUUAUUACUUUAAAUUUGGGCUAGAAGACAGUUGAUGAUUUUAGGUUGGUUGCUGGAGUCAUUUUAAAUUAUUUUAUUCAUUCCGCAGAGUUUUUAUUACAAGUUGUAAUUUUGUUUCCAGCUUUCUACUAGUUUGUUUAGAACAUGUAUUAAGUUAAUACUUUAUUUUUCAUUCUAUUAUUCAAAUCCAUUUGAUGAUCAUUACUACAUUUCUUUGUUAAAAUUCAGGUCUUUGGAAUGUAAAUAUACUAUAUUGUU
rnacentral:misc_RNA from 1 species